rnacentral:rRNA from 1 species
AGAUUGAACGCUGGCGGCAGGCCUAACACAUGCAAGUCGAGCGGCAGCACGGGUACUUGUACCUGGUGGCGAGCGGCGGACGGGUGAGUAAUGCCUAGGAAUCUGCCUAGUGGUGGGGGAUAACGUUCGGAAACGGACGCUAAUACCGCAUACGUCCUACGGGAGAAAGCGGGGGACCUUCGGGCCUCGCGCCAUUAGAUGAGCCUAGGUCGGAUUAGCUAGUUGGUGAGGUAAUGGCUCACCAAAGGCGACGAUCCGUAACUGGUCUGAGAGGAUGAUCAGUCACACUGGAACUGAGACACGGUCCAGACUCCUACGGGAGGCAGCAGUGGGGAAUAUUGGACAAUGGGCGAAAGCCUGAUCCAGCCAUGCCGCGUGUGUGAAGAAGGUCUUCGGAUUGUAAAAGCACUUUAAGUUGGAGGAAGGUUGUAACCUAAUACGUUGCAACUUUGACGUUACCGACAGAAUAAGCACCGGCUAAACUUCGUGCCAGCAAGCCG